AGCGAACGCUGGCGGCAGGCCUAACACAUGCAAGUCGAACGGUAACAGGAAGCAGCUUGCUGCUUCGCUGACGAGUGGCGGACGGGUGAGUAAUGUCUGGGAAACUGCCUGAUGGAGGGGGAUAACUACUGGAAACGGUAGCUAAUACCGCAUAACGUCGCAAGACCAAAGAGGGGGACCUUCGGGCCUCUUGCCAUCGGAUGUGCCCAGAUGGGAUUAGCUAGUAGGUGGGGUAACGGCUCACCUAGGCGACGAUCCCUAGCUGGUCUGAGGGGAUGACCAGCCACACUGGAACUGAGACACGGUCCAGACUCCUACGGGAGGCAGCAGUGGGGAAUAUUGCACAGUGGGCGCAAGCCUGAUGCAGCCAUGCCGCGUGUAUGAAGAAGGCCUUCGGGUUGUAAAGUACUUUCAGCGGGGAGGAAGGUGUUGAGGUUAAUAACCUCAGCAAUUGACGGUAGUCGGAGAAGAAGCCCCGGCUAACUUCGUGCCAGCCGCCGCAGUAAUAC
rnacentral:rRNA from 1 species